GACGAACGCUGGCGGCGUGCUUAACACAUGCAAGUCGAACGGUGAAGCGCCUUCCUUUUUGGUGGGUGUGGAUGAGUGGCGAACGGGUGAGUAACACGUGAGUAACCUGCCCCCUUCUUCUGGAUAACCGCAUGAAAGUGUGGCUAAUACGGGAUAUUCUGGGUCUGUCGCAUGAUGGGUCUGGGAAAGAUAUUGUUUCGGUGGGGGAUGGGCUCGCGGCCUAUCAGCUUGUUGGUGGGGUGAUGGCCUACCAAGGCGGUGACGGGUAGCCGGCCUGGGAGGGUGGACGGUCACACUGGGACUGAGACACGGCCCAGACUCCUACGGGAGGCAGCAGUGGGGAAUAUUGCACAAUGGGCGAAAGCCUGAUGCAGCGACGCCGCGUGAGGGAUGGAGGCCUGCGGGUUGUGAACCUCUUUCGCCAGUGAAGCAGGCCUGCCUCGUUUGUGGGUGGGUUGACGGUAGCUGGAUAAGAAGCGCCGGCUAACUACGUG
rnacentral:rRNA from 1 species